rnacentral:tRNA from 1 species
GCCCUGGUGGCACAACGGUUAAGUGCUCUGCUGCUAGCCAAAAGAUUGGUGGUCCAAACCCACCCCAUGGCU